UACAGAGGUCUCAAGCGUUGUUCGGAUUCAUUGGGCGUAAAGGGUGUGUAGGUGGCGCCGUAAGUCGGGUGUGAAAUUUCGGAGCUUAACUCCGAAACUGCAUUCGAUACUGCGGUGCUUGAGGACUGGAGAGGAGACUGGAAUUCAUGGUGUAGCAGUGAAAUGCGUAGAGAUCAUGAGGAAGACCAGUGGCGAAGGCGGGGUCUCUGGACAGUUCCUGACACUGAGACACGAAGGCCAGGGGGAGCAAACGGGG
rnacentral:rRNA from 1 species